rnacentral:rRNA from 1 species
AUGGCGUCCCCGUUGGCGUCGGAUCUCCGGUUCGUCACGCUCAAGGUGGUCGACCAGGAGCAGCGCCUGGUCCGCCGCACCAUCAGGAUGAACGCCCAGCUCCAGAUCGUCAUGGAUGCGUGCUACGAUGAGGCGGGGGACGUCGUCAGAGGCACCGGCUCCUUCUGGUUCGAAAACGUUCGACUGCGCGGCGAGCGCACGCCGGCGUCUUUCAAGCUGCGGGACGGGGACGCCAUCGACUUCUUUGAAACGCAGAUUGGCGGCGGGAUCCCCGCCUAG